UACGUAGGGUCCGAGCGUUGUCCGGAAUUAUUGGGCGUAAAGAGCUCGUAGGCGGUUUGUCGCGUCUGCUGUGAAAUCCCGAGGCUCAACCUCGGGCCUGCAGUGGGUACGGGCAGACUGGAGUGCGGUAGGGGAGACUGGAAUUCCUGGUGUAGCGGUGAAAUGCGCAGAUAUCAGGAGGAACACCGGUGGCGAAGGCGGGUCUCGUGGGCCGAUACUGACGCUGAGGAGCGAAAGCGUGGGGAGCGAACAGG
rnacentral:rRNA from 1 species